rnacentral:misc_RNA from 1 species
GCAUCUACCGAUUGAAUGGAGAGGUAAAAUCUCCGGACUAUGACGCGUUGGGGUCAAACCUAAUGCAGUCGUGGGAAGUGGAUUAAACCUUUCCCUUUAGAGGAAGAUGAAGUCGUAACAAGGUUUCCGUAGGUGAACCUGCAGAAGGAUCAAGAGAGGAAGAGGACACGGGGGAACGCCAGGAACGAGGAGGGAGCUCGUAGGCAGAGUGGGGGGGGAAAAAAAAAAGAGAAAGACGAGGGUGCAAGGGGGAGACGGCGGCAGUGACGUGGCAGCG